rnacentral:rRNA from 1 species
GUGGCGAACGGGUGAGUAACACGUGAGUAACCUGCCCUUGACUCUGGGAUAAGCGUUGGAAACGACGUCUAAUACCGGAUACGAGCUUCCACCGCAUGGUGAGUUGCUGGAAAGAAUUUUGGUCAAGGAUGGACUCGCGGCCUAUCAGCUUGUUGGUGAGGUAAUGGCUCACCAAGGCGACGACGGGUAGCCGGCCUGAGAGGGUGACCGGCCACACUGGGACUGAGACACGGCCCAGACUCCUACGGGAGGCAGCAGUGGGGAAUAUUGCACAAUGGGCGAAAGCCUGAUGCAGCAACGCCGCGUGAGGGACGACGGCCUUCGGGUUGUAAACCUCUUUUAGCAGGGAAGAAGCGAAAGUGACGGUACCUGCAGAAAAAGCACCGGCUAACUACGUGCCAGCAGCCGCGGUAAUACGUAGGGUGCAAGCGUUGUCCGGAAUUAUUGGGCGUAAAGAGCUCGUAGGCGGUUUGUCGCGUCUGCUGUGAAAUCCCGAGGCUCAACCUCGGGUCUGCAGUGGGUACGGGCAGACUAGAGUGCGGUAGGGGAGAUUGGAAUUCCUGGUGUAGCGGUGGAAUGCGCAGAUAUCAGGAGGAACACCGAUGGCGAAGGCAGAUCUCUGGGCCGCUACUGACGCUGAGGAGCGAAAGGGUGGGGAGCAAACAGGCUUAGAUACCCUGGUA